rnacentral:piRNA from 1 species
UUUUGUCAAAAAUAUACCCGCAGCUUCUC